CGAAGGAUGGCAGAAAAAUGCACUAGACCUAAGCCCUACCAAUGAGUUAAAUCUCUCCUUCCA
rnacentral:tRNA from 1 species